rnacentral:rRNA from 1 species
UACGUAGGCAGCAAGCGUUGUUCGGAAUUACUGGGCGUAAAGGGCUCGUAGGCGGUUUGUCGCGUCGGGCGUGAAAACUCAGGGCUUAACCCUGAGCCUGCUUCCGAUACGGGCAGACUAGAGGUAUGCAGGGGAGAACGGAAUUCCUGGUGUAGCGGUGAAAUGCGCAGAUAUCAGGAGGAACACCGGUGGCGAAGGCGGUUCUCUGGGCAUUACCUGACGCUGAGGAGCGAAAGUGUGGGGAGCGAACAGG